CCAGUCAGCAGAACAGCUGCCAGGACAACCGAGACCGAGAACAGUAUUCGCUGUCCAAACAAUACCGUCUUUUUCCCCACUAUUUCAAUGACAGGAUUAAUUCAAAAACAUCAACAACAACAACAACAAAAAACUACGGGCCCAAGAAGGCCACUAGUUAAAUAUAAAAAGGGACCACAUUCGUGAUGAAACUUUGUCUGCGUCGUUAUUGUUUCGAUACAAACCACUCCGAGUAUAAUUAACUUAAUUGAAAACGAUGGCGAUGGGAAUAAAUACAAGACGUACAAAGAGGACGUAGUACAUGCGUAGGACUACGGCCAAGGGCCGGGGAUUUUUUAUUCAAGGGUGAAAGCCUUCCCAAUAGCAACAACCAACCCUCGUUGAGACUCUGCGCUGCCCUACGACGCAGGCCACGUACCCCUAUUUUCAUUGAUCCGUCAGCCCGAAAUUAAUAAAUCGAAAAGAAAAAAGAAAAUUAUAUACGAACUUUUGUUGCUUAAAAAGAAUAAUAAACUAUGUUACGUAAACUAUUGCAAUACGACGUAAUACUUGAAUUUUUUAGUUAGCAGAGAAAAUAAAAAAACAAAAUAUUGGAGAACCAGAGCUUACUCUAGUGGAAAUUUUUUUGAAUUUUCUCUGAGAAAGUCUUCAGAACUUUAGAACUGAGUUUUUCAGAGAAAAUUCUGAAAGAUUUCCACCGGGAUAGACAAGAAAAUUUUAUAAAAUGAUCUGGGAGUUAGGAGACAACAAUUUUCGUUUUUUUUAAAUAAUUUAAUUUGAAAAAUAAAAAA